rnacentral:misc_RNA from 1 species
UGUCAUGGUUAUUGACCUUCUUGGGCCAAGCUUAGAAGACUUGUUUAAUUAUUGCAAUCGGAAGUUUUCAUUGAAAACAGUUUUGAUGCUUGCGGAUCAAUUAGUAUGUAUGCCAGUUUUUGGAAAAGAGUUACUGGUGAAAUAACUGCUGUUCUUAUGCUUAUUCACAUUUUUGCGUAGAUAAACAGAGUUGAAUAUAUGCACUCACGUGGUUUUCUUCACCGUGAUAUAAAGCCUGACAACUUUUUAAUGGG